rnacentral:lncRNA from 1 species
AAACGUAUAGUUAAAGAUGCCGCCACGCAGGAAUCCAAGGCGAAACCCAAACAACGAAGCACCAAUACCACCACCUGUACCUCUUCAACCACCAAAUCCUUUUGAUGCCACUAUGUUCCAGGCAGCUUUCACAGCAGCUGUUACAGCUGCUGUGUCAGCAAUCAACGCUCCUGCCCCUAGUGGAUCAGGAUCAGGUGCACCACCCUCGAACCACGGCGAAAGCCGUGGACACCCUCGGGAAUGCACCUACAAGGACUUCACUAACGCCAAACCCCGCAACUUCAAUGGAACUGGUGGUGUUAUGGUGUUGAGACAAUGGAUUGAAAAGAUGGAAUCCGUCUUUGAAAUCUGUGCUUGUCAGGAGGGCAGCAAGGUCAAGUUUGCAGCUUGUACCUUCUCUGACCGAGCACUAACAUGGUGNAAGGUCAAGUUCGCAGCUUGUACCUUCUCUGACCGAGCACUAACAUGGUGGAACAGCCAUGUUAACUAUCUAACUUUGGUGGUGGCGUAUUCCAUCGGCUGGGAAAAGUUGAAAGACAUGCUGAUGAAGGAAUACUGUCCUCGAGGCGAAAUACAAAAGCUCGAGCAAGAAUUCUGGGGUCUACAAAUGGUUGGAUCCGACAUCACUACCUACACAAAUAGGUUUUGUGAUUUCGCAAACUUAUGCCCCAACAUGGUUGCUC